rnacentral:rRNA from 1 species
UACGAAGGGGACUAGCGUUGUUCGGAAUUACUGGGCGUAAAGGGCGCGUAGGCGGCCUGCUAAGUCGAACGUGAAAUCCCUGGGCUCAACCCAGGAACUGCGUCCGAUACUGGUUGGCUUGAAUCCGGGAGAGGGAUGUGGAAUUCCAGGUGUAGCGGUGAAAUGCGUAGAUAUCUGGAGGAACACCGGUGGCGAAGGCGACAUCCUGGACCGGUAUUGACGCUGAGGUGCGAAAGCGUGGGGAGCAAACAGG